GAGAGAGAAAAUUACAGUGAUAAUUACACUGUCAUUAUAGUCUACUUAGAGUCUACUUGCAGUGUAUCUUAAGAGCUACAAUCUAGAUACACACAACUUAAGUCAGAAUUAGCACUGAAACUUCUUAAAAAUUACAGUGUAUUUACACAGUACUUACAUACAUACUGUUUGAACAUUACAGUGACAUUAUGACAGGAACUUAUAGAUAAUCGAUGAUUGUAUUUACACAGAACUUCACCGAUACUGUGUAAAUAUUACAGUGGCAUUACUACUAGAACUUUUAAGAAAAUACUGUGUAAAUAUUACAGUGGCCAAACGGGUUGCACUCAACUAGACCCGCUGCCAAACCACCAGAACAAAGAGGGGGGGUGUACAUGAAAACAAAGUAGAUCAACAGUAGAACAAAAGCACUCUAAUUAACAUGAGUACACCUUGAAAAUUAUGAAAAAAACUGCUGCAUAUAACCACUGUAAGAACUAUACAUUAUACCACUAUAAAUUAGUACAGGUUUGUGAACCUCAUUUGUAAUUUACAGUAGUGAAUCAGUUGAAUUACACUAGUAUAUUUACAGUUCUACGGUGGAGUUACAGUGUAAAUGUGCAGUUCAAUUACAUUAUAAAUCCGUAGAUUUGUAGUUUUGACAGUAUCACCUGACGUUGACAAACCCCUAAAACUAUCUAGAAAAGAGAUGUUACCCAACAAAGACAAACCAAACAAAAUAGCCAUGAAAAUUACAUUGUAACUGCCCUGUGACUUACAGUGAGUUUCACAAGAAUUAGUGAAUUACAGUGUAAUUUCCCUCUGUUUUACACAGUAAUUGCCCUGCAAAUUACACUGGAUAUUGUACAUGAAUUACAGUAGUAAUUUCCCUAAAUUUACACUGUAACACUCCUCAAAUUACAAUGCAAGUGCACUGAAAUUACACUGUGAUUUCCAUUGUAAUUGACCUGAAUUUACAGUAUUGAUUGCCCCUGAAAUUACACUUGCUGUGAAAUUGCAAGUUAAGCAGCAGACCAAAAAAAAAGUUCUAAAAAUGGAUGCAAUACACAUCAAACCUAGUAGCCUAGAGGGACCAUAGUUCUGAAAAGUACACUUAGUGUGAUGAAGAAGCCUAAGAAAUGAAAACCUACAUGAAAUUCAUGGGAAUUACAGUGGAAUUCUGGGGUAAAUUACAUCGUAAUAUAACUAAAAAAUACAGUGACUAAGCAUGGGAAUUACACUGCAAAAUCAGAUGAAUAUUACAGUAUAAUGAAAACCCUACACAAAAAUUCAGGGCAAGAACAUGAACUACGGUGUAAGCACAUGAAAAAUGCUGCCAAUGACUAAGUGCGCAGGAUUUACCGACGAAAAUACUACUGAAAGUACACAUUAAUAUCUAAGCUUGCACUCUAAUACAAAGGAAAUUGAAAAAAUGCACUGGAGGGGUCUAAGACUGACAACAUAAGGGCAAUAGCAGGGCUAGAACACAGGGGAUUACAGAAAAAACACAAUCAGGGACAUCCACUGAAGAAUCAUACUGGCAAAAAAAAAUAGUAGUACUAAUCUCUAAAAUUAUGAUACAUUGAGGAAAUCCUAAACCAGGGAAACAAACACCUACAUCUAACCUACCCCAAAUUACAUACAUCUAGAACGAAAAAUCAAGAGGAUACAAGGGAUAAUCCCAAGGACGAACCACACGAAGCAAUACAGAGGCCCCCUACCAGAGCAAAAUCACCAACCCUAACCACAAGAAAACCCCCAACAAAAUCCAUAAAUCUAGACACCUACCAACGACUACAUGAAACGAAACACCUACCAGCGCCUACACCCGAGGGGAUUCAAACAAGAAAGAGCUAAAGACCUAAACUGAGGAAUCACAUCGAUUACAUAGAUCUUACACAAACACAUCGGGAGCCAUGGGGCAAAUCUACAAGAGCAACGAAACCUACACCAAACACGGGCAGCAACAUACACCAUUCAUCAAUCCAACACCAGAACACACAUAGAUCUUGAAGCUACACUAGCAGAAACAGAGGAGAGACCUAGAUCACACAGGGAAGAGAGAGAGACGAGAAAAAACAACCGGGGCAGCCGAGGAACGAAGAGAAAGGGAAGAGUAAUCAAGCUCGAGCGGAAGAGGAUCUCGGAAUCGACAUGAACCACAGGAAUCGCCUCCGCUCCUCCGCCGCUCGAGCCGUCGAGCGCCUCUUCCUCUCUCACCCCCCUCUCUGCCUUCUUUUCACGCGGCCGCCCAAAU
rnacentral:rRNA from 1 species